rnacentral:rRNA from 1 species
UGGGGAAUAUUGCACAAUGGGCGGAAGCCUGAUGCAGCAACGCCGCGUGCGGGAUGACGGCCUUCGGGUUGUAAACCGCUUUCGCCUGUGACGAAGCGUGAGUGACGGUAAUGGGUAAAGAAGCACCGGCUAACUACGUGCCAGCAGCCGCGGUGAUACGUAGGGUGCGAGCGUUGUCCGGAUUUACUGGUGUAAAGGGAGCGUAGACGGAAGAGCAAGUCUGAUGUGAAAGGCUGGGGCUUAACCCCAGGACUGCAUUGGAAACUGUUGUUCUAGAGUGCCGGAGAGGUAAGCGGAAUUCCUAGUGUAGCGGUGAAAUGCGUAGAUAUUAGGAGGAACACCAGUGGCGAAGGCGGCUUACUGGACGGUAACUGACGUUGAGGCUCGAAAGCGUGGGGAGCAAACAGGAUUAGAUACCCUGGUA